UACGUAGGGGGCGAGCGUUGUCCGGAAUCAUUGGGCGUAAAGCGCGUGUAGGCGGCCCGGUAAGUCCGCUGUGAAAGUCCAGGGCUCAACCCUGGGAUGCCGGUGGAUACUGUCGGGCUCGAGUCCGGAAGAGGCGAGUGGAAUUCCUGGUGUAGCGGUGAAAUGCGUAGAUAUCGAGAGGAACACCUGAGGUGAAGACGGGUUGCUGGGCCGACACUGACGCUGAGUGCGCGAAAGCCAGGGGAGCAAACGGG
rnacentral:rRNA from 1 species